UACGUAGGGUGCAAGCGUUAAUCGGAAUUACUGGGCGUAAAGCGUGCGCAGGCGGUUGUGCAAGACCGAUGUGAAAUCCCCGGGCUUAACCUGGGAAUGGCAUUGGUGACUGCACGGCUAGAGUGUGUCAGAGGGGGGUAGAAUUCCACGUGUAGCAGUGAAAUGCGUAGAGAUGUGGAGGAACACCGAUGGCGAAGGCAGCCCCCUGGGGCAAGAUUGACGCUCAUGCACGAAAGCGUGGGGAGCAAACAGG
rnacentral:rRNA from 1 species